UACGUAGGGUGCAAGCGUUGUCCGGAAUUAUUGGGCGUAAAGAGCUCGUAGGCGGUCUGUCGCGUCGGCUGUGAAAACCCGGAGCUCAACUCCGGGCCUGCAGUCGAUACGGGCAGACUGGAGUUCGGCAGGGGAGACUGGAAUUCCUGGUGUAGCGGUGAAAUGCGCAGAGAUCCGGAGGAGACCGGUGGCGAAGGCGGCCUGCUGG
rnacentral:rRNA from 1 species